AGUGAACGCUGGCGGUAGGCCUAACACAUGCAAGUCGAACGGCAGCACAGUAAGAGCUUGCUCUUACGGGUGGCGAGUGGCGGACGGGUGAGGAAUACAUCGGAAUCUACUUUUUCGUGGGGGAUAACGUAGGGAAACUUACGCUAAUACCGCAUACGACCUACGGGUGAAAGCAGGGGAUCUUCGGACCUUGCGCGAUUGAAUGAGCCGAUGUCGGAUUAGCUAGUUGGCGGGGUAAAGGCCCACCAAGGCGACGAUCCGUAGCUGGUCUGAGAGGAUGAUCAGCCACACUGGAACUGAGACACGGUCCAGACUCCUACGGGAGGCAGCAGUGGGGAAUAUUGGACAAUGGGCGCAAGCUUGAUCCAGCCAUACCGCGUGGGUGAAGAAGGCCUUCGGGUUGUAAAGCCCUUUUGUUGGGAAAGAAAAGCAGCAGGUUAAUACCCCGCUGUUCUGACGGUACCCAAAGAAUAAGCACCGGCUAACCUCGUG
rnacentral:rRNA from 1 species